UUGAAACCCCAUUCACCUCCUCCACUUUUCCCAGAUUCAGCUUCUUUCCCUCUUCUUUCUCUGUUCUUUCGGAUCAGUCUAUCUAGCUCUGCCAUCUUUCACCUGCUCUUGUUCUUCUUCCCUUUCUUUCAUUUUUUCCUUAUUCUUCCUCCUCUCCGUUCUUCGAUGGUUUCUCCGUCACCGGCGAUGCCUCUACUGUCGGUGGUGUCCACAACCUCAUAGAGCGUGAGUCCUCGCUCGGCCGCUUGCGCCCCUUGGGGAUUCCGUAUCUCCGCUGAAGAUGGACGUUCUUUGGCGUCGAUUCCGAUCUUGACGGCGCGAGAGAUUCAACGGCUGUUAACGGGAGCCGAUCGACGAGGUGGUUUUGGUAUAGUGGAAGAAACAUAUCCACAACCUCAUAGAGUUUGAGUCCUCCUUCGGCCGCUCGCGCUCCUUGGCCAUUCUGUGUCUCCGCUCAAGAUGGACGUUCUUUGGGGUCGAUUCCAAUCUCAACGGCGCAAGAGAUUCAGCGGCUGUUAACGGGAGCCGAUCGGCGAGGUGGUUCUGGUCUUUUUUCAGGUCGCACAGGAAUUACAGGUUGCACAAGAGGUUGAGACCAGAGUGCAGAGUGCAGAACUCUUGGGGAAGUUUUUUGUUGUGUUAUUGAGAUUCGCUGCACUGCCUACAACCUUGCUCACCUUCUCAGAGAAUUCCUCUCUUGGCUGUUAUACUCUCUCUUGUGUCUCUGUCAUCUGCUUUGGUCCAAAUCGUCGCGGUUGUAGUGUUGUCUCAAAUGGUUAAGAAAUUGUGUAUGGCUUACGUGGGUUACUAAGGAACUUCAUUUUGAAUGGGUCAUCAAAAUCUCUAUUGGUGGUGUCUUAUCUUAGAUAUCAUGAUUGAUGUGAUUGAGAAAGAUAUUUGGUAUUCCCAAUAAGAUUUCUCUUCUUUUUGUUUUCUAACUCUUAUAUAUGUAAAAUUACAUUUUAAAUAAUUCUAGAAUCUAAUUCUUAGGUUUAGUUUAGUGUGUUGUUUCGUAUGCAAUAACUCUAUAUACCUAUAUUGACUUGUGUACUCUUGUUAUAUGGAUUUGGUAGAAGUUAAUAGUCUAUGUGUGAGAGGUCUAUUAUGAGGUAAAAGGAUUCAGUUUGCUAUGGGUGGGCUGUAGGGUAAUUUAUUACUCUAUAUUAGUAUUAGAUUUGUUGAAAUGUCUCUUUUUUCAAUUGAGGUAGGACUAAAUGGUGACUCAAUGUGUUUUCUCUCUCAAUAUGAAUUUAAUUUAAUAUUUUUAUUGUUUAUUUAAUUUAUUCUACUCAUUGUUUUUGCACAUUGUUUGCUUUAGAGGAAUAUGAGGUAGAAGAAAGUGUAACAAGACAGAAUGGGUGGAAAACAAAAUUUCUUGCUGUUUGGUUUAGGGGAGAAAAUAAAAAAAAGGAAAAAAAAUGAGUUGGAGUCCAUGUAACUCUUUUUUCUUCAUUCAUUCAUGACUUGAAAAUAGGUGGAAAAUGUCACAACAAUAUCAAAAUGAGAACUUUGUGCUUUAUUUGAUAGAGCUGUUAAAAUUUUUAAGUUUAUUCUAUUUGAAAUUUUAAAAUACCUCUCUCUUAUUAUUUAAUUUUAAAAAAUACUUUUUGUAAGAUAAAAUAUUAGUUAAACAAUGGGGUAACUUAUUUAUUUUAGGUUUUUCUCACCCUACAUUAUAGAUCAUGUGUUGACUACUUUUUAUAGGUUUUGGUUGUUUGUUGUGAUGGUUGAUGUGAUGACUGACGUGAUUGAGAGGGCAGUUGUUAUUUCCAAGUAUAAUUUGCUUUUUAUGUGUUAUUACUAGGUGCUAUAUAUGUCAAGUCAACUUUUUUGGUGUAGGAAGUUGGGGGCAGCUUGUGACUUUCCCUUCUUUUGUGUUCUUUUAGAUUUAUCACUCUAUAUUAGUAUUAGAUUUGUUGAAUCCUCUCUUUUUUCAAUUGAGGUAGGACUAAAUGGUGAUUCAAUGUGUUUUCUCUCUCAAUAUGAAUUUAAUUUAAUAUAUUUAUUAUUUUUUUAAUUUAUUCUACUCAUUGUUUUUGCACAUUGUUUGUUUUGGAGGAAUAUGAGGUAGAAAAAAGUAUAACAAGACAGAAUGGGUGGAAAACAAAAUUUCUUACUGUUUGGUUUAGUGGAGAAAAU